UUUCAAGAUUCUAAGAGCAAACGGUGGAUGCCUUGGCAUCUGGAGCCGAAGAAGGACGUAUAAAUCUGCGAUAAGCCUCGGGGAGCUGAUAAUAGAGCUUUGAUCCGAGGAUCUCCGAAUGGGGAAACCCCGCCAGGCCCUUUGGGUGACCUGGUGACUCCCGCCUGAAUAUAUAGGGCGGGUAGAGGGAACGUGGGGAAGUGAAACAUCUCAGUACCCACAGGAAGAGAAAGCAAAAGCGAUUCCGUUAGUAGUGGCGAGCGAAACCGGAAGAGGCCAAACCGAUCAUGUGUGAUAUCCGGUAGGAGUUGCAUGGUCGGGGUUGCGGGACUUUCCGUACAGUUCUACCGAGCUGUGAGGGCAAUGAGCGCGAUAUAGACGAAUGGUCUUGAAAGGCCAGUCAUAGAGGGUGCGAACCCCGUAGUCGAAAUGUCGUCGCCUGUCCGGAGAGUAUCCCAAGUAGCACGGGGCCCGAGAAAUCCCGUGUGAAUCUGUCAGGACCACCUGAUAAGCCUAAAUACUCCCAGAUGACCGAUAGCGGACAAGUACCGUGAGGGAAAGGUGAAAAGUACCCCGGGAGGGGAGUGAAAUAGUACCUGAAACCGUUUGCUUACAAACCGUUGGAGCACCCUUGUUGGUGUGACAGCGUGCCUUUUGAAGAAUGAGCCUGCGAGUUAGUGAUAUGUGGCGAGGUUAACCCGUGAGGGGCAGCCGUAGCGAAAGCGAGUCUUAAUAGGGCGUAUGAGUCGCAUGUUCUAGACCCGAAGCGAAGUGAUCUAUCCAUGGCCAGGUUGAAGCGACGGUAAGACGUCGUGGAGGACCGAACCCACUUCAGUUGAAAAUGGAGGGGAUGAGCUGUGGAUAGGGGUGAAAGGCCAAUCAAACUUCGUGAUAGCUGGUUCUCUCCGAAAUGCAUUUAGGUGCAGCGUUGCGUGUUUCUUGCCGGAGGUAGAGCUACUGGAUGGACGAUGGGCCCCAAAAGGUUACUGACUUCAGCCAAACUCCGAAUGCCGGUAAGUGAGAGCGCAGCAGUGAGACGGUGGGGGAUAAGCUUCAUCGUCGAGAGGGAAACAACCCAGACCACCAUCUAAGGUCCCUAAGCGCGUGCUAAGUGGGAAAGGAUGUGGAGUUGCAUAGACAACCAGGAGGUUGGCUUAGAAGCAGCCACCCUUGAAAGAGUGCGUAAUAGCUCACUGGUCAAGUGAUUCCGCGCCGACAAUGUAACGGGGCUCAAGCACGCCACCGAAGUUGUGGCAUUUAUAUUAUAGGCAGGCCUUCGUGGUCCAGCCGUAUGGAUGGGUAGGAGAGCGUCGUGUGGCCAGCGAAGCGGCGGUGUGAACCAGCCGUGGAGGCCACACGAGUGAGAAUGCAGGCAUGAGUAGCGAAAGACGGGUGAGAAACCCGUCCUCCGAAAGACCAAGGGUUCCAGGGCCAGGCUAAUCCGCCCUGGGUAAGUCGGGACCUAAGGCGAGGCCGACAGGCGUAGUCGAUGGACAACGGGUUGAUAUUCCCGUACCGAUGAAGAACCGCCCAAGACAAUCCAGUAAUGCUAAGUGUCUGAAUCCUUGAUUCGAUCCCUUCGGGGUGACGGUCUUGGCCUAGCACACGACCCUACGCUGGGGCGUUUAGCGUAUUAACAGGUGUGACGCAGGAAGGUAGCUGAGCCGGGCGAUGGUUGUCCCGGUCUAAGGAUGUAGGGCAGAAGAUAGGCAAAUCCGUCUUCUAUGUAGCCUGAGACCCGAUGGGUAGUCCUCACGGACGAAAUCAGUGAUCCUAUGCUGCCGAGAAAAGCAUCGACGCGAGGUUCCAAUCGCCCGUACCCCAAACCGACUCAGGUGGUCAGGUAGAGAAUACUAAGGAGAUCGAGAGAAUCGUGGUUAAGGAACUCGGCAAAAUGCCCCCGUAACUUCGGGAGAAGGGGGGCCUGAGGCGUGUAGGGAUUUACUCCUGAAGCGUUUGAAGGCCGCAGAGACCAGUGGGAAGCGACUGUUUACUAAAAACACAGGUCCGUGCUAAGUCGCAAGACGAUGUAUACGGACUGACGCCUGCCCGGUGCUGGAAGGUUAAGAGGAACGGUUAGCACGCAAGUGCGAAGCUGAGAAUUUAAGCCCCAGUAAACGGCGGUGGUAACUAUAACCAUCCUAAGGUAGCGAAAUUCCUUGUCGGGUAAGUUCCGACCUGCACGAAUGGCGUAACGACUUCCCAGCUGUCUCAACCGCGAACUCGGCGAAAUUGCACUACGAGUAAAGAUGCUCGUUACGCGCAGCAGGACGGAAAGACCCCGUGACCUUUACUACAGCUUGGUAUUGGUGUUCGGUGUGGCUUGUGUAGGAUAGGUGGGAGACUGUGAAGCUCGGACGCUAGUUCGGGUGGAGUCAUUGUUGAAAUACCACUCUGGUCACUCUGGAUAUCUAACUUCGAACCGUAAUCCGGUUCAGGGACAGUGCCUGGUGGGUAGUUUAACUGGGGCGGUUGCCUCCUAAAGAGUAACGGAGGCGCCCAAAGGUUCCCUCAACCUGGUUGGUAAUCAGGUGUCGAGUGUAAGUGCACAAGGGAGCUUGACUGUGAGACUGACAAGUCGAGCAGGGACGAAAGUCGGGACUAGUGAUCCGGCAGUGGCUUGUGGAAGCGCUGUCGCUCAACGGAUAAAAGGUACCUCGGGGAUAACAGGCUGAUCUUGCCCAAGAGUCCAUAUCGACGGCAUGGUUUGGCACCUCGAUGUCGGCUCGUCGCAUCCUGGGGCUGGAGUAGGUCCCAAGGGUUGGGCUGUUCGCCCAUUAAAGCGGUACGCGAGCUGGGUUUAGAACGUCGUGAGACAGUUCGGUCCCUAUCCGCUGCGCGCGUAGGAAAUUUGAGAAGAUCUAUCCCUAGUACGAGAGGACCGGGAUGGACGAACCUCUGGUGUGUCAGUUGUUCCGCCAGGAGCACCGCUGAUUAGCUACGUUCGGAACGGAUAACCGCUGAAAGCAUCUAAGCGGGAAGCCGGCUUCGAGAUGAGAUUUCCAUCCCUUUUAGGGUGAAGGCUCCCGGCUAGACUACCGGGUUGAUAGGCAGGAUGUGGAAGCGAGGACUAAAGACUCGUGGAGCUGACCUGUACUAAUAAGCCGAUAUCUUGAAAAC
rnacentral:rRNA from 1 species